CAGUAGCCACGGGAAUACGAAGGGUGCAAGCGUUACUCGGAAUUACUGGGCGUAAAGCGUGUGUAGGUGGUUGUUUAAGUCUGUCGUGAAAGCCCUGGGCUCAACCUGGGAAUUGCGAUGGAUACUGGGCGACUAGAGUGCGGUAGAGGAUAGUGGAAUUUCCGGUGUAGCAGUGAAAUGCGUAGAGAUCGGAAGGAACAUCUGUGGCGAAGGCGACUAUCUGGGCCAACACUGACACUGAGACACGAAAGCGUGGGGAGCAAACAGGAUUAGAUACCCCUGUAGUCCCUGUCUCUUAUAC
rnacentral:rRNA from 1 species